rnacentral:rRNA from 1 species
UACGUAGGGGGCAAGCGUUGUCCGGAUUUAUUGGGCGUAAAGAGCGUGUAGGCGGUCAGGUAGGUCCGUUGUGAAAACUCGAGGCUCAACCUCGAGACGCCGAUGGAAACCAUCUGACUAGAGUCCGGAAGAGGAGAGUGGAAUUCCUGGUGUAGCGGUGAAAUGCGCAGAUAUCAGGAGGAACACCAGUGGCGAAGGCGGUUCUCUGGGCCUGAUCUGACGCUGAGGAGCGAAAGCGUGGGGAGCGAACAGG